GAUGAACGCUGGCGGCGUGCCUAACACAUGCAAGUCGAACGGAGUCCAGCCUUUAAGACCUUCGGGUCAAAGAGGGGAAGACUGAGUGGCGGACGGGUGAGUAACACGUGGGCAACCUGGCGCAUAGAGGGGGAUAACAGAGAGAAAUUUCUGCUAAUACCGCAUAAGCACACACUGCCGCAUGGCAGAGGGUGAAAAGAGAAUCGCUAUGAGAUGGACCCGCGUCUGAUUAGCCAGUUGGCAGGGUAAGAGCCUACCAAAGCGACGAUCAGUAGCCGAUCUGAGAGGAUGAACGGCCACAUUGGGACUGAGACACGGCCCAAACUCCUACGGGAGGCAGCAGUGGGGGAUAUUGCACAAUGGGGGGAACCCUGAUGCAGCGACGCCGCGUGAGUGAAGAAGUAUUUCGGUAUGUAAAGCUCUAUCAGCAGGGAAGAUAAUGACAGUACCUGAAGAAGAAGCCCCGGCUAACUACGUG
rnacentral:rRNA from 1 species